UCUGACUUAAUCUGAUGUUUAUGUGCUGUAUCCGUAAUAAAACAAUUGCUUUAAUAUAUCUCAUUCUAUUUCAGAAUAAUUAACGCAAGAUGCGAGCGAAGUGGCGAAAAAAGCGUAUGCGCAGGCUGAAGCGUAAAAGGAGGAAGAUGAGGGCGAGGUCCAAGUAGACAUCUUCCCGUGACCAAGACAAUACAUUCCCACCAUGCAAGGCAUCUUCAGUUAGACCAGAGUUCGGGCAACCUCUCGUGACCCACCUGCAGCUUAUUUCCUGCAUGGUGUACCGAAUUAUGAUGAUGAUAAGAUGAUGAUGAUUAUAUACAGUUUGCGUGUGCAGUAAAUGCAAGUUUGGCUGUGCAGGCAGCUGUACCAAACUUUGUGACUGACUGGAGUGUUCUCAUAGCAACGGGGUUUAUUCAUCAUCAUCAGCAACAACGACAGUAGUAGCAGACUACAACAACAGAAGCAGCAACAACACAGUCCAUGUGGCAACCAUCUACCUUGUAAUUCUAUGAUGAAGAAGAGAAGAAAGACAUGUGUUAGCGUAGCAACUGUUGCGAUAGUAACGGGUUGCUAGGUAACAUUGUGAAAGAUGGUUGGCAGUGGGCUUUAACGUCACCACCACCUCUGUUGCAUUUUAUGGGACAUGCUUUGCUAAUGGGAUUUGUAGAUGUAUAGACAAUAUUGAGAUGAAUAUGUAAAACAUUUAUGCGUUGUCAUUGAUGCUUAUGUUUCUGCAUGGAAUUCUUGAUAGUACUUCUGGGAAUUUUUAUUUGUUUUUCAAAUGAAUAAAGUAUGUAUUGUCUUGGGGAAAA